rnacentral:rRNA from 1 species
CUACGGGCGGCAGCAGGCGAGAAAACUUUGCAAUGUGCGAAAGCACGACAAGGUUAAUCCGAGUGGUUUGUGCUAAACGAACCCUUUGACAGUCCUAGAGACACUGUUGAAUAAGGGGUGGGCAAGUUCUGGUGUCAGCCGCCGCGGUAAAACCAGCACCUCAAGUGGUCAGGAUGAUUAUUGGGCCUAAAGCAUCCGUAGCCGGCUCUGUAAGUUUUCGGUUAAAUCUGUACGCUCAACGUACAGGCUGCCGGGAAUACUGCAGAGCUAGGGAGUGGGAGAGGUAGACGGUACUCGGUAGGAAGGGGUAAAAUCCUUUGAUCUAUUGAUGACCACCUGUGGCGAAGGCGGUCUACCAGAACACGUCCGACGGUGAGGGAUGAAAGCUGGGGGAGCAAACCGGAUUAGAUACCCCUGUAGUC